GGAGAGGUGGCUGAGUGGUUGAAAGCGCCGUUCUCGAAAAGCGGUAUCCGCCCUAGGUGGAUCGGGGGUUCGAAUCCCUCCCUCUCCGCCA
rnacentral:tRNA from 1 species